rnacentral:tRNA from 1 species
GCGGAUGUGGCGGAAUUGGCAGACGCACUGGUUUUAGGUACCAGCGGGCAACCGUGGGGGUUCGAGUCCCUUCAUCCGCA